ACAUCCAUUUAUUUCCUACAGACAAGCUAAUAAAGAUGCCUACUCAAAAAGUGUGCCAGACUUGCAAACACAAAAUAGGAGUAGCCAGCAGGAAAUGCAGGCAAUGUGGUGCCAACCAACCCUACAAGGAGAAACUAUCCAAGCAAAAG